CCCCAUAUUUGCACUUUGGAGCACUUUUAAACAACUAUGUUUAAUUAACUUGAUCAACAGAACAUACAGUUUUACCCCAUACUGGGCAUGUCCUGGAGUGUAUAUGCGUGGCACUCAAGCUGAAAAUAGUAAAAUUUGGGCCAGCAUUUAGUACAAAUCUGAUUUUUGAAACCUGAAGAUCUGUGUUGAAGAUGCUUAGCGUGUACUCAAAAUGUCACAUAAAUGGACCUUUUAACAACUUCACGAAAUAGCAACAAUUUUUCGCAUUUUUCAAAGAAACAAAAAACAACCAUCGUAGUUUGAAUUAUUUAUCACGCGGAAUUUAGAAAAUCUACAAAGUUUUAAAAGAAUCCAUUGCAAACUCAUAAAAAUAUGGGACCCCAAACUAACAUGCAAAAGUAUUCCACAGGGUAUUCAUUGUUCCACUGGCAUACAUCUCUUUGUAAAAAAUGGCAAGUUAGGGUUCCCAUUCCCAUAUAUUUUUGAUUUUGCAAUGGAUUCUAACCAAAUACUUCGAUAAAUUGAGUGGUGCGGUAUAUUUUUUGUUUGAAAGGAAAAAUUGGAAAAGCCUGACAUCGGUAAAAAGGUCCGUUGUUUUGUACUUUGUUGUUGUGUUACUUUGUUACAGAGCCCUUAGCAGGAACAAAUUAAAGAAGUUUCCUGGAGGAUCUUUCAAAAAUUGCCAGUCACUACGAUAUCUGUCUGCGGAUCAGAAUGAGAUUUACAGCCUCACUGUUCCUAACAUGAGACCUUUCUUUGGAAAUGACUCGCAGCUUGUUCACUUGAAUGUAAGCAACAACCAAAUCUCAACUAUAUCUACUGGAGCAUUCUCCAACUUAAUCCAUCUUAAAGUUCUGUAAGUAUAUCAGC